rnacentral:lncRNA from 1 species
CUUAUCUUCUCAUAGCUUCAAUGAUGAAGACAGAAAUACUUGAAAACAUCAUAAGAUUUAUGUAAGGAUGAUAAUUUAAAAAAGAAGGAAAUGCGGAGACAGACACAUGUACUCACUCAGGCAGAACACCAUGUGAAAAUGAAGGCAACAAGCUGUAACCCAAGGAAAUUCCAAAGAUCGCAGGCAAACCACAAGAAGGUAGAAGAAUAGGAUGGAACAGUGGCUCACAGCUCUCAGAAGUAAUCAACCUGCCAACUUGGAUUUUGGCCUUCUAACAUCCAGAAAUGUAGUCUUCCUGAAGUAAAGAUGCAAAGCCAACAGAUGGAGAGAAACAGAGGUUCACGGGUUUGCCACAUGCAUGAUUUCUAUAAUCUCUAAAUUGAAUGCGCUUAGUUGCAGCUACAUCUUAUCUCAAAUAUCUGCAAUAAUUAUCUCCAAUGCUCAAUUAAAUUUUUGCAUUUCUCAAUUUAUCACUAACUACCCUAUGUAUAUGUUUCAGUUAUAACUCAUCUCAAAUAAUUUUAAAAGACUUAUGUAAUACUUAAUAAUUCGUUGAAAUGUUUCCCUUUCGUUUCUAAAGAGGAAAAUGUGCCCUUAGCCAUCACUUUUUAAAUCUAAAAGCUACAAACAGAAAUUGCUUUGCAAUUUUCAUGUACUCCUUAGAAAUUUUCUAGCUUCAAACAUGUGAUAUUUGCUUCUCUUACAUAAACGUCUCCAAAAAUGACUGCUAAAAAUGAAAACAUCUUUUCCAACAAAUAUUUUCAAUGCAAUGUAAACACAUAUUGCAAACAAUGAUUUAAACUAAUUCCAAGAAACCCAGCUAUUGGCAUUCUAGGAUUUUGCUAGUUAGGGGAACUGGCCCCAGAUGGGGAAAGCAUUCUUUGUUGUCUGAAGUGAUUACAGUAAAACAGGCCCAGACAGAAAAACUAUGGGUUGUAUGUCUCAAUACUGCAACUUUACCACCUGGCCAUUCUACUGUCACACAAAGGUCAAGCAGACAGCAAUGCAAUUUUGAGGUGGGGAAGGAAAAUAAUCCAGUCAGAAUUCAAGCAAAUGUUUGAAUUCAGAGUUUGAAUUCAGAGAAUGUUUGAGUUCAAUAAGCACUCAUUUUUCCCUUCUGGGAACCAUGUAAGGCAAUGAGAUAUGAAGAUAAAUAAUAUAUAGGCCCUUACUUGAGGAAUUCCUAAUCUAACCAAUGUCAUAGAUAUAUGAACAAAUAUACUGUGACAUGAAAAUUAAUAAGUAGUGUGUGCAAGGUAUAGUAAGACGUAAUUCCUAUAAAAUGAAGGUGGGGUGAUAACCUCUCUUCUGAACAUAAAAAGAAGGAUUCUCGGGAGCGACUGCUGAGUGAGAAUGCAUGUAUUCAUUCAUUUAUCAAAUAUUGAUGGAACAUUGUUAUGGGUUGAAUUGUGUCGCUAAAAAGAUGUGUUGAAGUCUUGACCCCUGGUACGUGUGAAUGUGACCUUAUUUGGAAGCAGGGUCUUUGCAAAUGUAACCAAGUUAAGAUGAGUUCAUUAGGAUAGGUCAUAUCCAAUAAGACUUAUGUCCUUAUGAGAAGAGGAAAAAAUUUGAACACACAGGCAUACAGGGAAUGCAGCAUGUGAAGAUGGAGGAUGAGAGAUGAGCUUGGAGUUAUGCUCCCACAAGCUGCAGAACAACUGGGGCUAACAGAAGCUGAGAGAUGCGACCCUCCCCUAGAGGUUACAGACGGAGCACAGCCCUACCAACACCUGAUUUUGGACUUCUGGCCUCUAGAAGUGUGAGAGAAUAAACUUCUGUCAUUUUAAGUCACCCUGUGUAUGGUACUUUGCUGUGGCAGUCCUAAGAAACUAAUACAAGCAUCUGCUAUGAACAAGACACCAGGAAUAUUGCUCAGGUAAUAGUGGAGAAAAGGACAAAGACUCUGCCUUAAGUAUGCUAAUAGGUUAUUCAGUGCAACAAGAGUAAUAUAAACAAAACUAUAAACAGGUAUUGUUUGUUGGGAGAGUUUUAAGUGAUUUGAUAUUACUGUAGAAAUAAAAAGUGUAGAAAUAAAAAUAAAAAAUAAAAAACUGAGUAGAAAGUUGAGUAGUAGACAGAUUAUUUUUAAAAAGAGUUUGGGAUUAACCUUGUUGAUAUGAGUUAUGGAUUAUGGUUUAAAGUAGAAAAUGAUAUGUUUAUACUUUUAACAGGUCACUCUGAUAUCAGCAAUGUAAUUUAUUUGUUCUGGGUAAUACCAGAAUAGACCAGUUAGGAAGGAAGAGUAAGAGGCGAAGCAAGAGAGAAAAGGAGGAUCUGAAUGGAGGCAGUAAAACCAACAAUGACUUUCAAGCCAAAUGAGUUUGAACGUCAACCACUGUAGAAGGGGCUAUAUGAAACCAAUGUUUUAAAAAAGAAUAUUGCUUAAGGCAGUGCACUAACAAAAAAGAAAAAUCUGCAAAAAUAGGUUAAAAAAAGAUAGGUAAAAAUUAGUCCUUCUACUUAGAAACCAAGGAUAUAAUGUAGAGGUAACAUGAACACACACACACACACACACACACACACGCACACAUUGAGUUGUUACUGGUGUAGGAGCCAGGGACAAAUUUACAUGUGAGAGCUGCCUGAAUAGCUGGGCUAAGAGCAUGGGAGAUGUGAGAGUCCUAUUCAGGUGUCAUAGAAGAAAAAGAGAUUUCCACAAAGGGAGUAAUUUUAAGUCCUGAUUUAGCUGGGCAUUUGCAAUUCACCAUGACUUAAGAUUUGUUUUUGACAAACUCAUGAUUUCCCAAUCUAUUGUGUUAGAAAACCAUUAAAAU